GAUGAACGCUAGCGGCAGGCUUAACACAUGCAAGUCGAGGGGCAGCGUGAGGGUUAGCAAUAACCCUUGACGGCGACCGGCGCAAGGGUGCGUAACGCGUGAGCAACUUGCCCUUAUCAGGGGGAUAACCGGUGGAAACGCCGACUAAUACCCCAUGGCAUUGGUUGGAGGCAUCUCCAUCCAAUUAAAGAUUUCGGAUAAGGAUAGGCUCGCGUGACAUUAGCUAGACGGCGGGGUAACGGCCCACCGUGGCGACGAUGUCUAGGGGUUCUGAGAGGAAGGUCCCCCACACUGGAACUGAGACACGGUCCAGACUCCUACGGGAGGCAGCAGUGAGGAAUAUUGGUCAAUGGGGCGAGAGCCUGGAACCAGCCAAGUAGCGUGAAGGAAGACUGCCCUAUGGGUUGUAAACUUCUUUUGUCGGGAAUAAAGUGCAGUAUGUAUACUGUUUUGAUGUACCGUUCGAAUAAGCAUCGGCUAAUUCCGUGCCAGCAGCCG
rnacentral:rRNA from 1 species